AUAUCAAUAAGCGGAGGAAAAGAAACCAACAGGGAUUGCCCUAGUAACGGCGAGUGAAGCGGCAUCAGCUCAAAUUUGAAAUCUGGCCUUGGCCCGAGUUGUAAUUUGUAGAGGAUAGUUCGGUGAUGCCUCGACCCAAGUCUCCUGGAACGGAGUGCCUUGGAGGGUGAGAGCCCCGUAUACGGUCGGUCGGCAGAGCCAUGUGAACUUCCUUCGAAGAGUCGAGUUGUUUGGGAAUGCAGCUCAAAAUUGGUGGUAAAUUCCAUCUAAAGCUAAAUAUUGGCCAGAGACCGAUAGCGCACAAGUAGAGUGAUCGAAAGAUGAAAAGCACUUUGGAAAGAGAGUGAAACAGUACGUGAAAUUGUUGAAAGGGAAGCGCUUGCAAUCAGACUUGCAUGCAGGAGUUCCGCCGGUCAUCGACCGGUUCAUUCUUCUGUAUUCAGGCCAGCAUCGAUUUCGUCGGUUGGAUAAAGGUUUUGGGAAUGUGACUCCUUUCGGGGAGUGUUAUAGCCCUUUACACAAUACAGCCUGACGGGAUCGAGGACCGCGUUCGCUUGGAUGCUGGCGUAAUGGUUGUUAGCGG
rnacentral:rRNA from 1 species